GGGGAUUUGGCUCAGUGGUAGAGCGCUUGCCUAGGAAGCGCAAGGUCCUGGGUUCAAUCCCCAGCCCA
rnacentral:tRNA from 1 species